rnacentral:lncRNA from 1 species
AUGAUCAUGUAUCCAGAAUAUAACAAUACCUCUUCUGAAAACUCGAAGACAAAUUCAAUCUUUGCAAUGUGUGAAGUUCCAUCACCAGCGCUCACAACAUAUAUCCAAGGAAUUACAGGCACCUUUCUGCUUCCCUACAUGGUCGUUGGCCUUCCAGCCAACCUAUGGGUGAUGUGGCUUAUCACUCACGGAACAAAAGAUUCAUUGGCGUCUGAGCUUUUCCAUCUAAAUAUGGCAAUAUGUGAGACCAUUUUCCUGUUGGGGAGUCCUUUACAGUUCUACUGCUUGUUUGACCAUGCUGGUGAUGGCCCGGUUGUUAAUUUCCUGAUCAUGGAACUUAGGGUGUUAAUAAGCUUUGGCCGUCUCCUGUUCCAGUGCUCCAUCUGUGUGGAGCGCUACCUGGCUGUCGUUCACCCUUUGACCUUCAUCAGGUUCAAGCCUCUGAGAUUCAGAGUAUUCUGCAGCGGUCUGAUGUGGUUCGCGAUAACAGUCCACUUGUUGAGCAUUUGGACAGCUGAUGUUGGAUAUCUUUUCACAGUAACACUCUUGUCAUUUUUCAUGACACUGUCUGUAAUUGUGUUCUGUUGUUUGUCAGUUCUCUGGUCCCUGAAGCAGCCAGGGCCAGUAGAGACAGAGAGGACAGGGGGUAACAAUAUCAAGAGAAGAGCCUUCAACAUCAUUUCAUUGAAUCUGGGGAUUAUUGUGUUUACUUAUUUCCCCUCCUUGGUCACCUUGUCUUCUAAAACUAUUUUGUCUUGGGAUAUCUUUCUUUAUCUGAGUUAUCCUGCUAUGUAUCUGAAACUGUUGGGUGGGAUUGCCCAACCUUUACUUUAUCUGCAGAAGGCUGGGAAACUGGGAAAAGUUUUUUUUACGUUGAAACAACUAUGGUCAAACUAUAGAGUCAAAAUCGAAAAACAUAUAGGAACUGUAUAGCAUCUUUUCUUGCUAUAUUUGCAUAUGUUCCUGUAAUAUUAACAUGUCCUCCUGUUUUACUGAAAUAUGUUCUUGUUACAUUGUGAUAUUUUCCUGUUAUAUUGAGUUUUUUUCAUUGGAUAAUAUUUUCUUGUUAAAACAUAAUUAAAUUACCCAAAAAUAAAAAUAAGAUGUAGUUAGCUUAAAAUGACUUGGACAUAUCCAUAGUAAAUUCGGAUCGAUAGUGAUUUCCAUAAUAAUAUCAAUAAAAUCACAUCCUGCAACUUUAAUUAUACAAAUAAAAAUGCUGGCCAGCCCAAUUGUCUCACUUUGUUUACAAUAGUUUUACUAUAGAUACUCCAAAAAAAACGCUAGUUAGAGUGACACAAUUUCACAGCCAGUUAGAGUGGCCAGAACAGUUAUUGAGUUUUUUAUCUUAAAAGUCUGAAAGCCUUCUAACUGGGAGGGACUCAAUCAUACACAUUCCAGCUUACAUACAUAAUAAUGACGAUUUAAGGAAAUAUUUUCAGGGAGAUGGACAUCGAGAGGGUAUGUUGUCGCCAGUCCCCGAAGGAGAGUGGUCACAGCCAGAUGCUGUCUCCGAAAGAUUUUGGCCGGACACAUUUAUGUUGACGUGUAAAUUAUUGCAAAUUUGUAAAAAAAAAAAAACAUUGUAAAUAAACAUUAUUGCAUAGAGUUUGACAAGGUUUCUUUUUUUAUGUAACACAUGUUUGCAACACUUUUCUUCCAGUUGUUCAAUCAUACACAAAUUUUGGUCAGAGAAAUAUUUAUUUUGGAUAUUGAAAGAAAUGCAAGUGAAAGUUCUUCAUGUUUAGUUUUUUUUCCUUACGACUAUUGUGUAGCAUCUUCUUGAGGGUUCUCUGGAUUAAGGUUUCCUGGUGCCAUUGGUACCCGCAUAAGUUUGAAUGGGGUGGUGGCUGUACCGGGGUAAGCAGGCCUCUGUACUGUUCUGCCUGAAUAAUUAGAUGUGCAUUGUUUACAACAACUUGCAGAUGACGUUCUUCAUUCUGUCACUGAAGUUACAAUCAAUUAAAUCUACUACCUUCCUCUCUUACAGCCUUUUCUGCUAAGAGGAUGGUUUCCGAGCCAACCUGGUGCCUCCUUCUCAUCCUCAUGGAUGAGGCUGAUUCCCCCCAUGACAUUAUUUUCCACUGUAUUUCAACCUUUGCAUUCCUUUGAGCCCUUUAUCCUGCAUUUCCUUAAUUAAAUGUCUGUGAAUAUACAUGGGUGAAAUAUGGGAGCAUACCUGUAGCCAGCUAUGAGGUCACCAAGGUCAGGACCUCAGUCAUUUUUUUAGAGCAAUCACACUUUUUUUUUAUUUGUGGUUGAUCACUUGUCCGAUAUGAGUGCAUGCUGACUUCAGUUUAGAGCUCUUACUUUUGGUCCGCCGUAUGUGACAUCAGCUGGUGCGUGCGGGAUCCGAGUACAAUUAGACUGUUUUUCCAACCCUAGCUACGGCCCUGUCUGAUAAAACCACAUUUAUGAAAAAAUGUCAUCUACUGCAGACUAUCCCAACAAAGGAUUCUGCGCACAACCUGCAUGAUUCAGUGAUGACUCAUUCAUUGACUGAAGUUGAUUUUAUUUAAAUAGAGUUCAAAUGUAGUAUUUGCAUUGGAUUUGUCUAGUUAUAACAACACAAUAUUUCAUGUGUGACAGAUGAAUAUAAAAUGUGGAGGAAUGUUUUCUAUCAGUCAGAUGAGAGUUUUGACAUUAAGAAUGUGUGUUUCAGGAUAACUAAAAGAGGAC